AACGAACGCUGGCGGCAUGCCUAACACAUGCAAGUCGAACGAGACCUUCGGGUCUAGUGGCGCACGGGUGCGUAACGCGUGGUAACCUGCCCUUAGGUUCGGAAUAACUCCCCGAAAGGGGUGCUAAUACCGGAUAAUGUCUUCGGACCAAAGAUUUAUCGCCUUUGGGUGGGCCCGCGUUGGAUUAGCUAGUUGGUAGGGUAAAAGCCUACCAAGGGGACGUUGCAUAGCUGGUCUGAGAGGAUGACCGGCCACACUGGGACUGGGACACGGCCCAGACUCCUAGGGAAGGAGGCAGUGGGGAAUAUUGGACAAGGGGGGAAGGCCGGAGCAAGCAAGGCGGCGGGAGUGAUGAAGGCCUUAGGGUUGUAAAGCUCUUUGACCCGGGAUGAUAAUGACGGUACCGGGAGAAUAAGCACCGGCUAACUACGUG
rnacentral:rRNA from 1 species